rnacentral:rRNA from 1 species
AUCGUAACAAGGUNUCCGUNGGUGAACCAGCGGAGGGAUCAUUACUGA